CACGUAGGGGGCGAGCGUUGUUCGGAUUCAUUGGGCGUAAAGGGUGCGUAGGCGGCGCGGUAAGUCGGGUGUGAAAUCUCGGGGCUUAACUCCGAAACUGCAUUCGAUACUGCCGUGCUUGAGGACUGGAGAGGAGACUGGAAUUUACGGUGUAGCGGUGAAAUGCGUAGAUAUCGUAAGGAAGACCAGUGGCGAAGGCGGGUCUCUGGACAGUUCCUGACGCUGAGGCACGAAGGUCAGGGGAGCAAACGGG
rnacentral:rRNA from 1 species